AGGUUACUGCUAUCGGUGUUCGCCUAAGCCAUGCGAGUCAUAUGUUCGUAAGAACAUGGCGUACUGCUCAGUAACACGUGGAUAACCUGCCCUUGGGUCCGGCAUAACCCCGGGAAACUGGGGAUAAUUCCGGAUAACGCACAUAUGCUGGAAUGCUUUAUGCGUAAAAUGGAUUCGUCUGCCCAAGGAUGGGUCUGCGGCCUAUCAGGUAGUAGUGGGUGUAAUGUACCUACUAGCCUACGACGGGUACGGGUUGUGAGAGCAAGAGCCCGGAGAUGGAUUCUGUGACAUGAAUCCAGGCCCUACGGGGCGCAGCAGGCGCGAAAACUUUACAAUGCGGGAAACCGUGAUAAGGGGACACCGAGUGCCAGCAUCCUAUGCUGGCUGUCCGGGUGUGUAAAAUACACCUGUUAGCAAGGGCCGGGCAAGACCGGUGCCAGCCGCCGCGGUAACACCGGCGGCCCGAGUGGUGACCGUGAUUAUUGGGUCUAAAGGGUCCGUAGCCGGUUUGGUCAGUCCUCCGGGAAAUCUGACAGCUUAACUGUUAGGCUUUCGGGGGAUACUGCCAGACUUGGAACCGGGAGAGGUAAGAGGUACUACAGGGGUAGGAGUGAAAUCUUGUAAUCCCUGUGGGACCACCUGUGGCGAAGGCGUCUUACCAGAACGGGUUCGACGGUGAGGGACGAAAGCUGGGGGCACGAACCGGAUUAGAUACCCGGGUAGUCCCAGCCGUAAACGAUGCUCGCUAGGUGUCAGGCAUGGCGCGACCGUGUCUGGUGCCGCAGGGAAGCCGUUAAGCGAGCCACCUGGGAAGUACGGCCGCAAGGCUGAAACUUAA
rnacentral:rRNA from 1 species